AUGCUUCUCCUAAAGACUAAGCCAUGCAUGCCUUCGAAUACGAGGAAGCAAUUCUCUCUGAAUCUGCGAACGGCUCCGCAAACCAGUUGUAAACCAAAGCAAGCAUACUCGCGGUCUGCCCUUCACGGGGUGGGCUACGGGUGAUACGGAUAACCCUGGUAAUUCUGAGGCUAAUACGAGAUCGUACUCCCUGGCUGACCGGGCAACUGGAAGGCUGGGAGGUGUGUGAUUUAGCACGAGGAAUCUGCUGGGAAUAGACA
rnacentral:rRNA from 1 species